GGUUAUUUUAUUAGAGUUUUAAGGAAUCAUGAUAUAACUAGAGUAAAAUGUAAAAUAAAGCCAGCAGUAUAAAAGCACUGGUAGAAGAAUUAAAAAAAAAAAAAAAAGCAUGGCUUGGAGACACUUGGAAUCUCAGUCCAUGGGAGGCUGAGGUGCGAAGACUGACCAGAGUUCAAGGCCAGCCUGGAGAUUCAAAGAGUCUGUCAAAAACAACAGUGAGCAUUAAAAUAAAAAAUAAAACUGGAGACUUAUCUGUAAUAUUUUACAACAGAACGCAAGUGGCCAGCUUGUAGUGCCUUUAUCGAGUUCCAAUGAGUUCGGAUACAAUCAAGGAUUUCAUAGACUUUAAACAUCUGACCGAGUCUUUGACAGACUGUGAGGAGAAGCAACUUGCUUACAGUUUUACCAUACAAGGGCACUGCGUCCCUGUCCCGGGAACCUGGGCCUUUGUGCAUAUUUGCUGCAGCUGCCGGUCCAGUUCUGAGCCAAAGUUGUGCUUUGAAAGCUCGGAUUCCUGCGUGUUGUGAUAAUAGGCCAGAGUUUGGAAAUGCCUCGGAAAAUCUAACGCGCUGGCUGUUUAACGAGGCUUCUGAAGAAACAGUUAACAUCUGGAUUCCGGCAUUCUGUGGCGCUCCAGGAACAACAGAGGGAAGGAGGUUCCUCUCAGCGACAGUUACAAGUAUUGAGGACUGAACUUAUUCGAGGCCAACACUAUACAGCUGAGAUGUAUCUCCAGCCCUCUAGGAUGUCUUGGAAAUAAUCCAGCCUCACUGGUGCCCAUAUCACAAACCCACAGCCUUUAGCUCUGUGGCUGUCUCUACAUGGUUAAAGCUACCUAGCCACGGAUCUCGUUACGACAGCCCGAGAAGACAGACACAAAAGGCUUUUAGACUGAACGAGCAUGGGAUCAAACUGGACCCUCUGCAUGUGGCUGACAAUGGGGGCUGACUGAGAAGCCAAUGAUAAUGGCACUCGGAUUUGAUUCUACUGCAUGUACUGACUUUUUGGGAUCCUAGUCUGUUUGGAUGCACACCUUCCUAGGCCUGGAUGGAGGGGGAGGGCCUUGGACUUCCCAUGGGGCAGGGUACCCUGCCCUCCUUAGGACUGGAGGGGGAGGCUGAGUGGGGGAGCGGGAGGGAAAUGGGAGGAGGGGAGGAAGUGGAAAUUUUGAAUGGUAUUAUUUACAAAGCAAUAAUUUUUUUUUAAAAAAAAAAUCCCUGUCAAAGAUCAGUUAACUAUGCUUGUAUGGCUUUAUUUUUCAGGAUUUUUUCUAGAUUAAAAAUUCCAAUCUCCAUUGCUGGUAUAGAAGUGGUUGACUUUGUGUAUGAAAAAUGCGCCCUGAGGCUUUGCUACAAUUCUUUCUUUGUUCUUGGAAAUUUGUGAGUGUGUGUGUGUGUGUGUAUGCACAUGUGUGUGAAUGUCAAUUCUUUUAAAUUUUCUCAUGUAGAAAAUCAUGUCACUUUAAAGCAAAGGGGAGUUUAGUUUUUCUUCCUUCUGCCUUUUGUUUCAUUUUCUUGUCUUAUUAUACUUGCUAGCCCUUGCAGUACCUGUUCCUAAUCUUAAAGAGCAAAUAUUUAGCUUGUUACCCUUAAGUAUAUAUUUGCUGUAGAAAUUUGAUAUAUGUCUUUUUUUUUAAGGAUUUUUUAAAAAUCACAUUUAGUUAUGUGGCUGGGUGGUAUGCCUGCCACAGUGCAUAUGGGGAGGUAAGGGAGCUACUUGCAAGAGUUGGUUCUCUCCUUCUCCCGUGUAAGUGCCAGGAGAUCAAAUCCAGGUUUGCAGUUGCCUUUACCCUCUGGGCCACCCUGCUGGUUGCUUGCCUUGCUGGAGUUCUUAUCCAGUCAGGGAAGCUCCUCAACAUUUUUGGCUUGCGGAGAGCUUUGGCUUGUUUUGUUGUUGUUGUUUGCUUUUGUAAUUGUGAGUGGGAGUUUCCUCACAUAGUUUUUUCUUUAUGUGUUGGUAUGAAUUUAAGAUUUUUCUUCCUUCUUGCCUAGCUGAUUUGGAAGAUUAUGUUGAUAUUCGAGUGCUGAAUUAGACUUUUAUACCUGGAAUAAACGCUACUAGUCAUGGCAUAUAAUUGGCGUAUAUAUUAUUGGAUUCAGGUUGUUAGUAUUUUGAGGACUUUAAAGAUUAUUCAUUUAUUUUAUGCUCCAGUGCAUGUAUAUGUACCACACGUAUGCAAGAGCCUGAGACAAUCAGAAGAGGGCAUCAGAUCCUCUGGAACGAGAUUUCUGGGCAGUUGUGAGCUGGCAUCUGAACCCAGAUCCUCUGCAAGAGCAGCAAGGGCUCUUAACCACAGAGCAUCCCUCCAGCCAUGAGGGUUAAACAAAAAGUCAACAUUCUUAAGAAACAUUGGUCUUAAGGCUUUUCUCGCAAUGUCUUUGUCUGCUCAGUAUUAGGAUAACGUUGGCUUGUCAGGUGGGUUAGCAUGUGUUCCCUGUGCUUCUGUUCUAUGAAAGAGAUCAUGGAGAAUUACUUUUCUUUCUCUAAAUGUUUGGUAGAAUCCAACAAUAAAAGCAAUUGGACUUGCUGCCUUUCACUUUUAAGAAGACUAAUUACAUUAUGACAGAGAUGGCCUAUAAAACUGAGGUGAAUAUGAUGUAUGGCUCCGCAACCUUGCAGGGUUGUGUUUUCUGCACAGGUAUAAAAGUCAGGUGUUACCGGACAGCACACAGUGUAGAAGGGGUUCUGGGUAGGUGCUUCCGAAGACCCAUUUGCUUACUCUCUCCCCUUAGCCAGUAUCGCUGUCGUCUCGACCACAAAGCGGGCAUCAUUAUCAUCGGAUG